rnacentral:rRNA from 1 species
UGAGGGAUAUUGGGCAAUGGGGGAAACCCUGACCCAGCGACGCCGCGUGAGGGAAGACGGUCUUCGGAUUGUAAACCUCUGUCUUUGGGGACGAAGAAGGACGGUACCCAAGGAGGAAGCUCCGGCUAACUACGUGCCAGCAGCCGCGGUAAUACGUAGGGAGCGAGCGUUGUCCGGAAUUACUGGGUGUAAAGGGAGCGUAGGCGGGAUUGCAAGUUGGAUGUGAAAACUGCGGGCUCAACCCGGAGAGUGCAUUCAAAAUCUGCGAUUCUUGAGUGAAGUAGAGGCAAGCGGAAUUCCUAGUGUAGCGGUGAAAUGCGUAGAUAUUAGGAGGAACACCAGUGGCGAAGGCGGCUUGCUGGGCUUUUACUGACGCUGAGGCUCGAAAGUGUGGGGAGCAAACAGGAUUAGAUACCC